AUGUGGUUUAAUUCGAUGCAACGCGAAGAACCUUACCUGGUCUUGACAUCCACAGAACUUAGCAGAGAUGCUUUGGUGCCUUCGGGAACUGUGAGACAGGUGCUGCAUGGCUGUCGUCAGCUCGUGUUGUGAAAUGUUGGGUUAAGUCCCGCAACGAGCGCAACCCUUAUCCUUUGUUGCCAGCGGUCAGGCCGGGAACUCAAAGGAGACUGCCAGUGAUAAACUGGAGGAAGGUGGGGAUGACGUCAAGUCAUCAUGGCCCUUACGACCAGGGCUACACACGUGCUACAAUGGCAUAUACAAAGAGAAGCGACCUCGCGAGAGCAAGCGGACCUCAUAAAGUAUGUCGUAGUCCGGAUUGGAGUCUGCAACUCGACUCCAUGAAGUCGGAAUCGCUAGUAAUCGUAGAUCAGAAUGCUACGGUGAAUACGUUCCCGGGCCUUGUACACACCGCCCGUCACACCAUGGGAGUGGGUUGCAAAAGAAGUAGGUAGCUUAACCUUCGGGAGGGCGCUUACCACUUUGUGAUUCAUGACUGGGGUGAAGUCGUAACAAGGUAACCGUAGGGGAACCUGCGGUUGGAUCACCUCCUUA
rnacentral:rRNA from 1 species